UUACGGCCAUAUCACGUUGAAACACCGAUUCUCUUAGGAUCAACGAAGUUAAACAACGUCGAGCCAGGUUAAUACCUAGAUGGUGACUUCUUAGGAAUACCAGGUGCU